AUGUCACAUCAGAGAUCACCUGCUGAGGUCAAAGUCAGAUGUUUUUACACAGUGGAGGACGGAUCUGUGAAUUCUCCUUCAGCGCACAGUCACCCAUCCUCCAUCAGCAUACAAACUCUUCUUCCACCAACACUGACAGUGAGCACAGCAGUGAUCUCAGAGACAGACUCAGUCACGUUACACUGUCAGGCACCAGCAUCUGCCUCAGUGUAUCACUGUUAUUUUUAUACUGGGGAGCAACAAAGUAACAAAGACCUCUCGUGUCUGCAGACACUGACAGCAACUAAAAUGCUGUUAAUCUCACAUCAGAGAUCACCUGCUGAGGUCAAAGUCAGAUGUUUGUACACUGUGAAUUAUGGAUCUGUGACUUCUACUUCACCACACAGUAACCCAUCCUCCAUCACCAUACAAAGUCAAAAACCAGAGAUGAGUGUUCAACAUUUUGAUGGGGAAUUUGUUCUCAUCAUGUGCUCUCUGCCUGGAUCUGUGAAAGAUGAUACAAGAUGUAAUCUGUACUUUGGAGAAGCAAGUCGUCCAUUCUUAAAUGAAGCUGUCUCGAAGGAAAGCAGCAGAAAAACCAAACAGAGGUCCUGCCGCUUUUAUGUCGCAGUUGCAGAUUUUUUGAGCCAUUUACAUUAUGUUCAACAAAAGGAUGCCAGCUGUGAUUACACUUUGGAAAGUGGACCUUACUCUUUGUCACCUCGCAGUGAUCGAUACAACAUGACAGAUAUUAUGAAGAAAGAAUCACCAACAACCAAAGUGUACUCACCAUGCACCAUGACCACAGGUAAGACAGACUAUACAUCUAAGUAUCAUACAGAACAUUAUGAAUGUUUUCUUUAG
rnacentral:lncRNA from 1 species